UUUACGUGAGCACUUCCGCCGGACCGGAUUCUUGAAUAUAUUUCCUUCAGACGGGGUUUAUAUGAGCACAUCCUCGGAAUUGGGAUAAUCAGUACACUUUUCUAGUGAACCCAAGACCCUUUGGUGAGUGGCCCUGCUCUAACCACUGAGUGCACCGACAGAGCAAGCUCAUCUCCUUUUGACAACAUUCCUUCUUGGCCUGGUCUCGGGUCUCUGCCCUUUACGGAUGGCAGCCCACGACCCAGGUUGCCUGUGAUUGUGCCUCUCGUGACACUCCAGGUCGGUUGCCUGGCUCCUAUGCCCGGGUAAGUUCUGACUUUGCUGUGUCCUCCUCAUUCUUCAGUCAUCUCUCUGGUUGUCUUUUCCUUUUUCCUUUUCUUGUAAUGUCUCUCAUUGACAGAAAGCAUACCACUUUUCCCUGUAUUAUACCUACAUGGUUACAAAUCCUGCCCUUUACUCUUGGUCCUAAAAUGAGAUUCCUUCAGGAGAAAUAUCCUUGAGUGGAGCGAUUUCACUUUUUUUCAGAAACUACUGACCAUUGAGGAAGUGGCCACAUCACAGAGUGCAUACUGGAGUGAAACCCUAUAAAUGUGAAGAAUGUGGGAAAGAUUUUAGUGGAAGCUCAGGUCUUAUUCAGCAUGAGAAUCCACACAGGUGAAAAGCCCUACGAAUGUUAUGAGUACAGGAGGCCUUUUUGGGUAAAUUCAGCCCUUAUUCAACAUCAAAGAAUUCAUGUAGCAAAAAGGCUCUACCAAUAAGGGGUCAGUAACAACAAUUCCUGAGCUAUUCAGGCCUUAUUAGGGACCGUAUGAGUAUCCUGAAUGUAGGCAAAGCUUCCAUCAUCGUUAUAAAUUUCUCUGGUACCACAGAAUCUGAAUAAAAUUUGCUUUUAUUUCUAAA